rnacentral:lncRNA from 1 species
UGAAAACUUUAAAAAUCUAGCUCCUGCUCCAAGAAUUGCAAUAGAUACCUGCAAAUGUGGAGGUCUUCAGGCCAGGAACCAGGGUGCUGGUUGCUAAGCUGCCUGUGUAUGAAGGGGCAACAUCAGCUCCUUUGAACUCUUCCCUGGAAGGAUGCUUUAAAAAAGAAGAAGAAGAAGAAGAAGAAGACAAAAUGCAAAACUAUUUCCAUUGCCUCAUGGGCUUCUGGGAUGUCAUCACCUCCAGUUUAUUGGGUUUGUUUCCAAC